GACGAACGCUGGCGGCGUGCUUAACACAUGCAAGUCGAACGGUGACCCUCGGAGCUUGCGUCGGGGUGAGCAGUGGCGAACGGGUGAGUAACACGUGAGUAACCUGCCCCUGACUCUGGAAUAAGCGCUGGAAACGGCGUCUAAUACCGGAUACGACACGCCUCCGCAUGGGGAGCGUGUGGAAAGUUUUUCGGUCUGGGAUGGGCUCGCGGCCUAUCAGCUUGUUGGUGAGGUAAUGGCUCACCACGGCGAUGACGGGUAGCCGGCCGGAGAGGGCGACCGGCCACACUGGGACUGAGACACGGCCCAGACUCCUACGGGAGGCAGCAGUGGGGAAUAUUGCACAAUGGGCGAAAGCCUGAUGCAGCGACGCCGCGUGAGGGAUGACGGCCUUCGGGUUGUAAACCUCUUUCAGCAGGGAAGAAGCGAAAGUGACGGUACCUGCAGAAGAAGCACCGGCUAACUACGUGCCAGCAGCCGCCGUAACAC
rnacentral:rRNA from 1 species